rnacentral:rRNA from 1 species
AUUGAACGCUGGCGGCAGGCCUAACACAUGCAAGUCGAACGAGUGGCGGACGGGUGAGUAAUGUCUGGGAAACUGCGUGAUGGAGGGGGAUAACUACUGGAAACGGUAGCUAAUACCGCAUACCAUCGGAUGUGCCCAGAUGGGAUUAGCUAGUAGGUGGGGUAAUGGCUCACCUAGGCGACGAGCCCUAGCUGGUCUGAGAGGAUGACCAGCCACACUUGAACGGGGACACGGUCGAGACUCCUACGGUAGGCAGCAGUGGGGAAUAUUGCACAAUGGGCGCAAUCCUGAUACAGCCAUGCCGCGUGUGUGAAGAAGGCCUUCGGGUUGUAGAGUACUUUCAGCGGGGAGGCGUUACCCGCAGAAGAAGCACCGGCUAACUCCGUGCCAGCAGCCGCGGUAAUUC